CCUACGGGAGGCAGCAGUGAGGAAUAUUGGUCAAUGGGCGCUAGCCUGAACCAGCCAAGUAGCGUGAAGGAUGACUGCCCCAUGGGUUGUAAACUUCUUUUAUCUGGGAAUAAAGUGCAGUAUGUAUACUGCUUUGCAUGUACCUUAUGAAUAAGGAUCGGCUAACUCCGUGCCAGCAGCCGCGGUAAUACGGAGGAUCCGAGCGUUAUCCGGAUUUAUUGGGUUUAAAGGGAGCGUAGGCGGGUUGUUAAGUCAGUUGUGAAAGUUUGCGGCUCAACCGUAAAAUUGCAGUUGAUACUGGCAGCCUUGAGUACAGUAGAGGUAGGCGGAAUUCGUGGUGUAGCGGUGAAAUGCUUAGAUAUCACGAAGAACUCCGAUUGCGAAGGCAGCCUGCUGGACUGUAACUGACGCUGAUGCUUGAAAGUGUGGGUAUCAAACAGGAUUAGAUACCCCAGUAGUC
rnacentral:rRNA from 1 species